AGCGAAAGUGACGGUACCUGCCGGAAGAAAGCACCGGCCUAGCUCCUUCCAGCAGCCCCGGUAAUUCGUAGGGCGCAAGCGUUAUCCGUACAUAAUUGGGCGGAAGAGCUUCGUAGGCCGGUUGUCGCGUCUGCCGUGAAAUUCCGGGGCUCAACUCCGGGAUCUGCGGUGGGUACAGGGCAGACUAGAGUGAUGUAGGAGAGACUGGGAUUUCCUGGUGUAGCGAUGAAAUGCGCAGAUAUCAAGGAGAACACCGAUGGCGAAGGCAGGUCUCUGGGCAUUAUCUGACGCUGAGGAGCGAAAGCAUGGGGAGCGAACAGGAUUAGAUACCCUGGUAGUCCAUGCCGUAAACGUUGGGCACUAGGUGUGGGGGACAUUCCACGUUUUCCGCGCCGUAGCUGACGCAUUAAGUGCCCCGCCUGGGGAGUACGGCCGCAAGGCUAAAACUCAAAGGAAUUGACGGGGGCCCGCACAAGCGGCGGAGCAUGCGGAUUAAUUCGAUGCAACGCGAAGAACCUUACCAAGGCUUGACAUGAACCGGUAACGCCUGGAGACAGGUGCCCCGCUUGCGGUCGGUUUACAGGUGGUGCAUGGUUGUCGUCAGCUCGUGUCGUGAGAUGUUGGGUUAAGUCCCGCAACGAGCGCAACCCUCGUUCUAUGUUGCCAGCACGUGAUGGUGGGGACUCAUAGGAGACUGCCGGGGUCAACUCGGAGGAAGGUGGGGACGACGUCAAAUCAUCAUGCCCCUUAUGUCUUGGGCUUCACGCAUGCUACAAUGGCCGGUACAAAGGGUUGCGAUGCUGUGAGGUGGAGCUAAUCCCAAAAAGCCGGUCUCAGUUCGGAUUGGGGUCUGCAACUCGACCCCAUGAAGUCGGAGUCGCUAGUAAUCGCAGAUCAGCAACGCUGCGGUGAAUACGUUCCCGGGCCUUGUACACACCGCCCGU
rnacentral:rRNA from 1 species